rnacentral:rRNA from 1 species
ACGAACGCUGGCGGCGUGCUUAACACAUGCAAGUCGAACGGGAUCCAAAGGCUUUUUGUUUUUGGUGAGAGUGGCGAACGGGUGAGUAACACGUGAGUAACCUGCCCCCUUCUUUUGGAUAACCGCAUGAAAGUGUGGCUAAUACAGGAUAUUCCAGGCUGGUCGCAUGAUUGGUUUGGGAAAUGGUUUGGUCUGGUGGGGGAUGGGCUCGCGGCCUAUCAGCUUGUUGGUGGGGUGAUGGCCUACCAAGGCGGUGACGGGUAGCCGGCCUGAGAGGGUGGGCGGUCACACUGGGACUGAGAUACGGCCCAGACUCCUACGGGAGGCAGCAGUGGGGGAUUUUGCACAAUGGGCGCAAGCCUGAUGCAGCGACGCCGCGUGAGGGAUGAAGGCCUUCGGGUUGUAAACCUCUUUCGCUGGGUUGAAAGGCCAUGCUUGGGGUGUGGUUGAUUUGAACUGGUAAAGAAGUACCGGCUAACUACGUG